rnacentral:lncRNA from 1 species
AUAUAUACAAAGACCAUGGCUGGCUCAAAUAGUGCUCCCUUGCAUUAUUUACCUCACCUUUCUCCAUGUCCAUGAUAUUACUAUCAAUUAUUCGGGCGGGGAGGACAUAUACACCUAUACCCCGAAUAGUUGAUAAAAUAUCAUUUGAUUUGAAUAUGAUUCAAAAAAAAAAAAAUAUUAAUAAAAAAAUUAAUAUAAAUAAUCAAAAAUAAUGAAAAAUAUUAAAUCUUAAGAGCCAUCGUUAGCAUGUAUUAGGCAUAUAAGACCCAUCAUCAGCAUCCAAGAUCACAAAUGCAUGGGAUCCUAUGAUUUAUGGUGUGCAGACGAAGAAUAGUCAAGGAAGCAGACAGUAAGGCUGCAGUGUGUCGUAGACGCUAUCAUUAAAACACAAGACUACUCCCAAGAUGAAGGAAGCCACGUUCGUAUGCAACCAAAGAGAAGUGGCAGGCCAAAAGACCCCUUAUCACCAUGCAUGCAUGCAUCCAAAGGCUAUAAAAGAAGCCUAGGACCUAUAAAGACCUAUAAAGGAGAUGCAUCAUGGACAUGGAGAAAGGUGAGGUAAAUAAUGCAAGGGAGCACUAUUUGAGCCAGCCAUGGUGCCUAUAUAAGGAGGCUCUUUGCAGCAUUGGAGCACACACAACCAUCGAGCACAACACAAGCCUUCAGAACAGCAAGUAGUUCAGGGCAGUUAGCCAGAAAACUAUCUGCUUUCUAGUAGUAGUAGUACCACUUCCCACUGUAAUAAAGCCUGUAUAAUCAAGGCAUUUGUAACAUAAGACUGGGAAGGUAGUAAGGUAAUUUCUUUAUCUUUGUGUGAACCCUUCGGGGGUUCCCGAAAGGGAAAACCGUAUGUAAGCUAUAUUGUGAAAUGAAGUAGUUUUGUUUUUCCCUCGGUCUUUUUAGCGUGUUUAUACGGGUGGGUGCUUAUGCUAGGGAUCCUAUAGGAGAAACCUCUGCGUGUAGUUCUCUGUUAAGCCGUGUGUGUGUGGCGUUGAAAUGAGAACCUUGUAACCGUAGAGAAGUGUUCCCUUCGGGUGGAACUGCCUGGGAAGACGAUAAGAAAUCACCCAUAUAAACCUGACUAAAGACGCUUAGGGAAAUAAACUUAGCUACUCCUGAAGCAAUAUAGUAAUAAAUACGGUGAGUACUGAGUAGGAUUAUUACAUCACUGCGAAAACCGUCGGUAGUUCCGUUGGCCUCACCAGCCUUAUAAGAUCCUGCAAAAGAUAAUCAUAAUUUACCAUAUAACCUAAUAUUAGCGGGGAGGACAUAUACACCUAUACCCCGAAUAGUUGAUAGAAUAUCAUUUGAUUUGAAUAUGAUUCAAAAAAAAAAUAUUAAUAAAAAAAUUAAUAUAAAUAAUCAAAAAUAAUGAAAAAUAUUAAAUCUUAAGAGCCAUCGUUAGCAUGUAUUAGGCAUAUAAGACCCAUCAUCAGCAUCCAAGAUCACAAAUGCAUGGGAUCCUAUGAUUUAUGGUGUGCAGACGAAGAAUAGUCAAGGAAGCAGACAGUAAGGCUGCAGUGUGUCGUAGACGCUAUCAUUAAAACACAAGACUACUCCCAAGAUGAAGGAAGCCACGUUCGUAUGCAACCAAAGAGAAGUGGCAGGCCAAAAGACCCCUUAUCACCAUGCAUGCAUGCAUCCAAAGGCUAUAAAAGAAGCCUAGGACCUAUAAAGACCUAUAAAGGAGAUGCAUCAUGGACAUGGAGAAAGGUGAGGUAAAUAAUGCAAGGGAGCACUAUUUGAGCCAGCCAUGGUGCCUAUAUAAGGAGGCUCUUUGCAGCAUUGGAGCACACACAACCAUCGAGCACAACACAAGCCUUCAGAACAGCAAGUAGUUCAGGGCAGUUAGCCAGAAAACUAUCUGCUUUCUAGUAGUAGUAGUACCACUUCCCACUGUAAUAAAGCCUGUAUAAUCAAGGCAUUUGUAACAUAAGACUGGGAAGGUAGUAAGGUAAUUUCUUUAUCUUUGUGUGAACCCUUCGGGGGUUCCCGAAAGGGAAAACCGUAUGUAAGCUAUAUUGUGAAAUGAAGUAGUUUUGUUUUUCCCUCGGUCUUUUUAGCGUGUUUAUACGGGUGGGUGCUUAUGCUAGGGAUCCUAUAGGAGAAACCUCUGCGUGUAGUUCUCUGUUAAGCCGUGUGUGUGUGGCGUUGAAAUGAGAACCUUGUAACCGUAGAGAAGUGUUCCCUUCGGGUGGAACUGCCUGGGAAGACGAUAAGAAAUCACCCAUAUAAACCUGACUAAAGACGCUUAGGGAAAUAAACUUAGCUACUCCUGAAGCAAUAUAGUAAUAAAUACGGUGAGUACUGAGUAGGAUUAUUACAUCACUGCGAAAACCGUCGGUAGUUCCGUUGGCCUCACCAGCCUUAUAAGAUCCUGCAAAAGAUAAUCAUAAUUUACCAUAUAACCUAAUAUUAGCCGAAAUAAUUUGAAUAUUAACGUAUCUAAUAUCUAUUUAUACAUAAUAUUCG